rnacentral:sRNA from 1 species
UGUUCCCUUAGCAAUUUAUUUCUGAUAUUCUUGGGAAUAGGGUAGACUGUAGCACAAGGGGGGAGCUUCCUGGAAGUUCCUAUGGUGCCACAGAGACGAAGGCUAUUAAUUCCAGCUGGGAGUAUCAGCCCCCAUAUUGCUGCAGACUGGAAAAUUACACCACACACAAACCCUGUCUUUGGAGCCAGGCCCGGCAGCUGGGAAGAUGGUCCCUAGGCCCCUUUCAAUUGUAUAAGAGCGGGCCUCCGAAAGGCAACACCCAAACAAAACAAGACAAGACAAGGCCAAAGCCCUCAUACUGAGACUGAACAAGGCAACCCAAUAGGAGAAGAGUCCCCAAACCAGACCAAAGAGUCAGAAAUACACCUGCUUCAACUCUUAGAAGUCUCACAGAGAUGCCAAGGCACAGCCAUAACAUGCAGAAAGGACAUGGGACAGACUCAUGCAGGCUCCGUGCUUGGUCCACCAGUCUCUGGCUGGUUCCUCAAUCUACAUCACCCAGCGGCCAGAUUUACAGAAAUCAAAUGUAACUGAUACUGAAGAUGGUUGAGUGGAAUGGACUGCUUUGGAAAGGAAAGAAGAAAUUAAGUAUCCAGUGAUACCAAAAUUAUGCAUGAAACCCAACACACACACACACACACACACACACACACACACACAAACACACACACACAAACAAACACACACCCCACUCUGAAAAGGUUGGACAGUUAAACUAUCGUAAGAAUAGACACGAAAUAUUGCAUGGGGAGUUGGAGGCAAGAAGCACACAGAGACAUAAUGCACUGCAAAUGAAAGUCAUUUAUAAAGUGCAACAGGUACCCGAUAGAAGGAAAAUGAUUAGUCAGCAGAAGUGGGUGGCCUGUUACCUAUUCACAGGGUAUUGGCAUGGGACAAGAGAGAAUGUGUUUAUUGGGGACUUGCUGAUGUACAAGCAUUAAUGCUAGGCACUGAGGACACUAGGCUAAAUCGUUUGCCUGAAAAUAAUUUUUUUCUCAGUCCUGUAGUCACCUCUGGCAUUCUUUUUUUUAGGAAAUAUGUCCUCUCACAAGAUAGAAUCUUCAGCUCUGGGGCUGCCUCUGAUGGCUCUGUGACCAUGCAGGGCAGUGGAGCUUUCCUGAAGAGGUCACCACAAUCCUCCAGAGCUCACACAGCAUGGCCACCUCUGCUUUAUAGUGCUAACAGGGUCUCUGUGUUGGGCUUUUGCUCUGCCUGUUCAUAGUGGCUGAGAAUUCCAUGUCUGGGAUGCCCAAGGAGCUUGGAGGGCUCCGUUCAUCUCUCAGUCCCAAAGACAACUAGGCGUCAGCAAGCAGAACCUUUACUGAUGCCAAAUGAAUGGACACAUCUGGGAGGAAAAGUGAAUGAAGCCAGAGAAGGUACAGGGUAAGAUGAGACCUCCAUCGGGGAAAACCGAACAGUAUGCAGUGUGGGUGGGGAGAGGUGGAGGGAGAGACACAGAAACCUGCCCUGCUCAGACUGCAGACAGAGCAUGGGAAGCUUUAAGGGGCAGAAUGAGACAAUAUGCAGGACAUUCGAAAUGGUGCCUGGCACCUGGGAAACACUUCAAUAAUGUGAGGUUGAUUACUGCUACCUUUAUAUUAUGAGAAAUAUUAACAAUUUGUAUGUUUCUAGUUACUUUUCAUUAUCAAGGUGGCGUUUCUGAAUUUUAGAAUCAUCCCAAAAGCUUGUUGUUGCCAAGAGCUUGCUUUCUGAAUCUGUUAAAAAAAUAAAAAGCACAAGUAAGCCUCACAGGAUGGAUCACGACAGCACAAACUAAAAUCACCAUCACAUGGACGCUUUCUGAGAUCAAGGACACAGCCUGGUUCCAGGGAGCUUGAGAGAGACCUUGCCUAUGCUUCCCCAAUACAAUAAGGUCAUGGUGUCUGCAUCCCAGGGCACUGCGAGCUGCUUCUGAACUUUGCAAUGGGUGAUACGGCGCAACUCUGGGAAGUAUCCGAGUGGACCUGGAGAAGCUUGAGGUGCCAGAGACAGAAUUCCAUAGCAAACAUAACAGAAGCAACAGCAACAGUGGCUUGCCUGAGUCCCUACAAAAGAGGAGGUACCAGACCCAAGCUCCCCAAAACCACAACACAGUGGCAACUGGGUGUUUCUUUGUUUUGUUUCAUUUUUUGUUUUUUGUUAUCGUUGUUGUUUUUGUUGUUGUUGUUGUUUUGUUUCUUUCCUACCUGGCCAGUUUGCUUUUUUCCUCUUUGCUAACAGCAUUGCCAAGCAUUCUUUUCAGAGGCAGAGGUUUCUCAUUUCUAGAACGUGUUUUGGAUACAGCUGACUGAGCCUAACCUCACAGUAAAGCAUAGGACUCAGCCCUGCCCAUUGGUACUGACUUCAGAAAGGCCCGAAAGAACAUGUGACCCGAGUAAAAAAUCAAUCAGAUUCUGCUAUAGGAUGCUGCUGAAAUGGUUGUUCAUAGAUAACCUCAUUUUCUUUUUUUCCUU